AGAACUCCAGAUCAACUCAGAAAAAACAGAAAUCAGAAUUACAAAAGCAUGAUCCUAGGAAAAACUAAAUUAAAAAAAAAAAUUCUAACACAGACGAAGUAGUGCUAAAUAAUUUAUUAAUUUCUCAAUAAGGUAUCUAAAUUCAAUAAACGAUGAAACGCACACACACAUAUACAUAAUCACAUCUACAGAAUAUUGGAAAACUCACGCGUUCAAUGGAUCAAGAAUUGAAUUUCAGAUUGAUAAGGAAACCCUAGAUUUCGUGAUCGUCUAAAUUGAAGAGAUUUUUCGCCUUUAUCCCCCUAUGUGAAAGAGAGAUAAUUUAGAAGGAAAUCGAUGGAAGAAAAAUGGAACAUGGAGAUAUUUCCUUCGUCGCUUUGUGGAGCGUGACGUCAGUUUGAUGAGUGGGUCCCAUACCGUAAAGAUCUCUAAUUUAUUUAAUAAAAACGACCAAAAUAUUUAAAUUAAUAAAUAAAUAAAGGAAAACUCUCGUGAUACAUAAAGAUUGGUACACAAUGGUGACACCAUUAUAUACCGACCCUUAUGUACCCAUAGACCAACCCAUAAAUAAACCGGGAUUUGGAACAAAUUUUACCUUUCUCGUUUCACAAGCAAACGAAGCCUAAAAUGACCUGUCCUGUAGAUCAUUCAUUUCUGACUUCUUUUG
rnacentral:lncRNA from 1 species